UUGGCCAUCACUGGUCUAUAAGUACAUAAUUAGGUAUGAAAUGCUCCGCAAUAUAGAAAUGUUUAUUGUCCUCUUUAGAUUUUAGUUCAAGCAGAAGAUCGUGUCCAUAGAAUAGGUCAAGAAGAUUCUGUUUGUAUACAGUAUUUGGUUGCUAAGGGAACAGCUGAUGACUAUAUAUGGCCUUUGAUUCAAGAUAAACUUAAUAUUCUAAGCAAAGUUGGUCUGGCCAAAGAUGAUUUUUCUAGUGCUGACAAAACUUUUGUUGCAGACAGCAGUCAAUUAAAAAUUCUUAAUUUGUUCAAAUCAGACUUUAUUAAUGAGUCACAGGAAGAAACAAAGAAUAUUGAAACAUUAUUAACAGAGUCUCAGUCGACUU
rnacentral:sRNA from 1 species